ACUUUUUUUUUUUUUUUUUUUUUUUUUUUUUUUUUAAUAAGAGAUGUCAGAUUUUGCUUCAAGAAACCUUCCAAUAAAUACUUCUUGUGAAGUUUGACUCUCUUACCUUCAGUUACAGAAAAGGAGCCAGUGUGGCUUGGGCCAGGCUUGGCUGUCUACAAAUGCUGGGUCAUAGGCAAGUUUUUCCUGUUAGAUCCUCUUGCUCCCACAGAGCUGAGCAGAGCUUAGUGAGGUGCUCCAAGCUCUGCCGCCUUCACCAGGGGAGAAGCUCUCAUCUCACUUAUCUUUGCAUAGACACCAAUGCAAGAUAAGUCUCUUCCUCUGUCACCAUCAAAGUGUUGAUAUCACCUAUGGCAGGAUGGCAGUAAAUAGAAACUCUUCCCUACAAUGCCCUGAAAAGCAGCUGUUUUGAUCUCUAACAGUAUCUUGCUAUCUAGCAGCAGUGUCUGCUCAGAAAUUUGACCUUUAAGGCAGGAAACCAAACUAAAAUGGGAAUUCUGCUGUCUGAGGCUCCAGUUGCUUUACAGGAUGCUUGCCUUUUUCAUUGCAGGUUGUAAUAAGUAAAUUCUGGUGGUGGUAUGGUGCUAGGGCCUGUAGAAAUGUUCAAAUGAUCUGAUAAAUACUUGAUGAGCCAUUGCAGAUGAUGAUAUGGAAUAUGGGACCUGUUUUGGCUUGUGAUAGCAUUUCAUACAGUCUUGCAGGUCGCAUCUGGUUGCUGUGCAGACAACAUUCCCUCCUUCAGGGAAGAAGGUGGUAAAAAUGCUGCAAUAAACAGCAUCUAACACUGAUUUAUACCUUAUCAAGAAACAUCUGUGCAGCAGGUUUGUAGUCAGCCAUACGAAGCCAGUUACUAUUGCAGAUGUGACAGAGGCAGAGAGCUCAUUUUAAUUUCAUUACUCAACAUAUUUAGCUGUGUAAACAAAUCCUAAUCUAAAUUGCUGUUGUGUUAUCCAAAUAACUUGAUUAUGAAAACAGUAUGUCAGACUUUCUACAAGGCAAAAGGAAUGGGUGCCGUUUAGGCAUCAGAAAAACCUACACGGUUAUUUUUAAACCAUCAUUUACUAAGAUCCAUAAAUACAGCCUAGCCCAUUUGAUGUUUCUCAGUCUUCUUAAUCCUUCACCUUUUCAGAAUUCUCAGUGAUGACAUGAGGAGGAAGAGAAGGAGGAAUUCCCUGAACUGCACUGAGCAGCACUUGUAAGACAGGGCCUGAUUGAUGCUGUCACCCAGGGCAGCAGAAAAUGUGGAUAUUAAUUUUUGAAAUUGUCUGUGGAGAGAGUACCAUAACGUGUGUGCUGUAUGACGGAACCAAGUCUCUUGGGAAAAUAGGAGAACAUCUGUGGUGAAGUAGUUCACAAGAUUUCCCUUUUAAUUUAUUGAUUAGUGAGGCUUUCCUUUUCUACUCCCCAAAUCUUUCAGUUCUUCUUUGAUUCUGAUCAGUCCGUUUUGAGGGCAUAGAAAUCUGGGGAAAACAAGGAGGAGAAAAUUGGACAUUGAGCCUUUUUCACUGCAACCACAGGACAUCAUGUCUGGCUUUGCAAGGCAGUUUGGGUGUUCUAGGAUCAGCCCAUAUCCAGUCACUAACAUCAGCUGUGUUUGACUCAAUGAUUUUAGAGCUUUUUUCCAAGCUAAACAAAUCUGUGAUUCUCUGUGUCUGGAUUGCACUCCAGCGAGCACAGGCUUCCUGCAACAGCCAGGUCUUGGUGGAGUAGUGUUAUCCUUUGAAACCUGAAAAAUUAAUCUCGCAACUAAUAGGAUAAGGGGGAAAUGGAAAGCUUUCCCUGAAGGUGACCUGACACCAUGGGAUUAUCUUCUGGAGUAUGUGUUUUCGUAGGAGCAACUUUCAGGCAAAAACAUGAACCAUUAAGAUUAAAAAACAGAACAGCCUCUUCAGGAGCAAGCGUGAUUCAAUUAUAUGAAGGCCUGUAAAAUCACAUGGACUGGCUGUGAGCAUAAUAUAAAUACUUGGGUAUGUUUAGCUUAGGUAAGCCUUUGUCAUAUAUGUUCUAGGACUAAUCUACUCUGAAGACCUCUUGUUCUGGCAAGGAUUCACCACAAGUAGCAAAGAGACCUCAGAUCAAAAGGCAUCAGUGUUGCACUUUUAUGCUCCUGUCCUCUGGAAAAUAUGAUCUUCCCUUCAAAGCUUGACCUUAAUUUUACUGGGAAAUUUUGUAUGGAUAGUAGUAACCUCUCAAACUGUGUGAUCCCUUGUGGGUGCUGACAGAGUGCCCAUAAUCCCAAAGCUGUAAAAGCCAUGACUUAUUUUACUGCUGGGCAGAGACACAGAAUGCCAACAGGACCUCAGAGACUGGACUGAUCCUGGUGGGAGUAUGACUGAGGAAGGUCCUUGGGACAUUCACUAACCAACUCUCUAAAGAAAGGGUUGCCCUCUGCUGUCACUUGGCUUUUCUCAAGGCAUAUUUAGCACAGAAGUAGAUGAACUGACUUGAAGACCAAGAGCAACGUUGCUGCCAAGAUCGUGAGGGGAGUGAUUGAUAAACUCAAGUCAAAAGUCUGGCUUGUACCCACACCAAGGCCCCUCUUGUUGGGUGUUCAGAUACUUGGUGGUGCUUUCAGGAGGAACAAAGCUAUCUGGGAUCACCAAACAGCUCUCCAGAGAUGUCUGCUCAGUUCCACAGGAAGCUCUUGCCUGGACACUGAAGACUUUGAGCACACAUUGUGCCUUGCACAGCAACAUGGCUGGAGCCUGAUUGCCUUAAAACUCCUGUCCUAUGCUCACGGUGCACAUAACCUUAUUGCCCUGUGCCUGCCCUGAAGCACUUCCUUUCCUUGGCAAUCUCCUAAAUUCUGGUUGAUCUCCUUCCCCUGACUUCAGACCUCAGCUCUUCCCUUUCUACCACAAUGCCCCAGUCAGUUCCUGCUCCCUUGCCAGAAGCUUGCUCAGAAGGUUUACAGGCUGGGGCCAAGAAAAACAGAUCAAUGCUCCCCGAGUAUGUGUGUUAAUGCUUGUGUGUCUCCUCUCAGCUGCUGUUUUUCCCAAAGUCUGCCAGAACAUCAUGCCUCAGAAGCCCUCACUUAAAGGGUUUGGAUCCAACAAGUCAGUGAAGGUCACUGGCAGUGGAAACCUGAACACCCAUCUCCAUUGCACACAGCCUUGCUUCCUUAAGCAAGGAGACAGAGAAAUAUCAGGCCUGCAAGGAAGACGCCUGAACUUUCAGUGUAUCCUGACUGAAAGUUCAGGUGUAUUAGUAAGAACACAAUGCCCAGCAUGGUCCCUUGCAUAUACUUUGAAAAAAUUAUUACAAAUAUAUUUUGAUAAAUAAUAACAGCAGCCUUCUUUGUGUUUACAAGCUGAUGUUAUUGUGCUGUAUAGCUUGUGUCAUUUUCCUUUGCACUUGUUAGAAACAGAAAAAUUUGAAUUUGAUUAAAAGCUAAAUUAUUUC
ensembl:lncRNA